rnacentral:rRNA from 1 species
UACAGAGGUCCCAAGCGUUGUUCGGAUUCACUGGGCGUAAAGGGUGCGUAGGUGGUGAGGUAAGUCGGAUGUGAAAUCUCCGAGCUCAACUAGGAAACUGCAUUGGAAACUACCUUGCUCGAGGGUUGGAGGGGGGACUGGAAUGCUUGGUGUAGCAGUGAAAUGCGUAGAUAUCAAGCGGAACACCAGUGGCGAAGGCGAGUCCCUGGACAACUCCUGACACUGAUGCACGAAAGCCAGGGGAGCAAACAGG